UCCAGACUCCUACGGGAGGCAGCAGUGAGGAAUAUUGGUCAAUGGGCGAGAGCCUGAACCAGCCAAGUCGCGUGAGGGAAGACGGUCCUAUGGAUUGUAAACCUCUUUUGUCGGGGAGCAAAAAGGCCUCGUGAGGCCACAAGUGAGAGUACCCGAAGAAAAAGCAUCGGCUAACUCCGUGCCAGCAGCCGCGGUAAUACGGAGGAUGCGAGCGUUAUCCGGAUUUAUUGGGUUUAAAGGGUGCGUAGGCGGGCUUUUAAGUCAGCGGUAAAAAUUCGGGGCUCAACCCCGUCCGGCCGUUGAAACUGGGGGCCUUGAGUGGGCGAGAAGAAGGCGGAAUGCGUGGUGUAGCGGUGAAAUGCAUAGAUAUCACGCAGAACCCCGAUUGCGAAGGCAGCCUUCCGGCGCCCUACUGACGCUGAGGCACGAAAGUGCGGGGAUCGAACAGGAUUAGAUACCCCCGUACC
rnacentral:rRNA from 1 species